CUUGACACAACCAGAGAUCAAAUUUCAAACUUAUAAAGUUAAACAUCCAAAAGAUGCCAUAUUCGCAUGGCUUAAAUACGUUAACCAAAAUAUCCUUCCACUAUUAGUCUAUUCUAUACAUGCCUUAAACCUUAAUGAUAUACAAACUUUAUCUACUCACAUGAUAACUCGAUAGUGUGAUGAAAUCUCCUCGAUUUCCAACCCAAGAAAUUUC
rnacentral:lncRNA from 1 species